GAUGAACGCUGGCGGCGUGCCUAAUACAUGCAAGUAGAACGCUGAAGGAGGAGCUUGCUCUUCUGGAUGAGUUGCGAACGGGUGAGUAACGCGUAGGUAGCCUGCCUGGUAGCGGGGGAUAACUAUUGGAAACGAUAGCUAAUACCGCAUGACAACAGUUAUUGCAUGAUAACUGUUUAAAAGGGGCAACUGCUCCACUACCAGAUGGACCUGCGUUGUAUUAGCUAGUUGGUGAGGUAACGGCUCACCAAGGCGACGAUACAUAGCCGACCUGAGAGGGUGAUCGGCCACACUGGGACUGAGACACGGCCCAGACUCCUACGGGAGGCAGCAGCAGGGAAUCUUCGGCAAUGGACGGAAGUCUGACCGAGCAACGCCGCGUGAGUGAAGAAGGUUUUCGGAUCGUAAAGCUCUGUUGUAAGAGAAGAACGAGUGUGAGAGUGGAAAGUUCACACUGUGACGGUAUCUUACCAGAAAGAGACGGCUAACUACGUG
rnacentral:rRNA from 1 species